GAAAUGCGAUAAGUAAUGUGAAUUGCAGAAUUCAGUGAAUCAUCGAAUCUUUGAACGCACAUUGCGCCCGCCAGUAUUCUGGCGGGCAUGCCUGUUCGAGCGUCAUUUCAACCCUCAAGCUCUGCUUGGCGUUGGGGAUCGGCAGAACGGCUCCCCGGAGCCGCGCCGUCCCUCAAAUGCAGUGGCGGUCUCGCUGCAGCCUUCUAUGCGUAGUAGCACACCUCGCACUGGAGCGCAGCCUGGCCACGCCGUAAAACCCCCUACUUUUUGUGGUUGACCUCGAAUCAGGUAGGACUACCCGCUGAACUUAA
rnacentral:misc_RNA from 1 species